CAGCAGCCGCGGUAAUACGAAGGGGGCUAGCGUUGUUCGGAAUUACUGGGCGUAAAGCGUGCGCAGGCGGUUGUGUAAGACAGGUGUGAAAUCCCCGGGCUUAACCUGGGAACUGCGCUUGUGACUGCACAGCUAGAGUAUGGCAGAGGGGGGUGGAAUUCCACGUGUAGCAGUGAAAUGCGUAGAGAUGUGGAGGAACACCGAUGGCGAAGGCAGCCCCCUGGGCCAAUACUGACGCUCAUGCACGAAAGCGUGGGGAGCAAACAGGAUUAGAGACCCCAGUAGUCCCUGUCUCUUAUAC
rnacentral:rRNA from 1 species